GACGAACGCUGGCGGCGUGCUUAACACAUGCAAGUCGAACGAAGUGGCGAAAGGGUGAGUAACGCGUAAUCAACCUGCCCUUCAGAGGGGGACAACAGUUGGAAACGACUGCUAAUAACGCAUACUGAAGGAGGGGAUUGCUUCUGAGUAGCUAGUUGGAGGGUUAACGGCCAACCAGGGCGAGGAUCAGUAGCCGGUCUGAGAGGGUGAAAGGCCACAUUGGGACUGAGACAAGGCCCAGAAUCCUACGGGAUGCAGCAGUGGGGAAUCUUCCGCAAUGGACGAAAGUCUGACGGAGCAACGCCGCGUGAGUGAUGACGGCCUUCGGGUUGUAAAGCUCUGUUAAUCGGGACGCGGUACCGGAAUAUAAAGCCACGGCUAACUACGUGCCAGCCGCCGCGGUAAUUC
rnacentral:rRNA from 1 species